rnacentral:rRNA from 1 species
AUUGAACGCUGGCGGCAGGCCUAACACAUGCAAGUCGAGCGGAUGACGGGAGCUUGCUCCUUGAUUCAGCGGCGGACGGGUGAGUAAUGCCUAGGAAUCUGCCUGGUAGUGGGGGACAACGUUUCGAAAGGAACGCUAAUACCGCAUACGUCCUACGGGAGAAAGCAGGGGACCGUCGGGCCUUGCGCUAUCAGAUGAGCCUAGGUCGGAUUAGCUAGUUGGUGGGGUAAUGGCUCACCAAGGCGACGAUCCGUAACUGGUCUGAGAGGAUGAUCAGUCACACUGGAACUGAGACACGGUCCAGACUCCUACGGGAGGCAGCAGUGGGGAAUAUUGGACAAUGGGCGAAAGCCUGAUCCAGCCAUGCCGCGUGUGUGAAGAAGGUCUUCGGAUUGUAAAGCACUUUAAGUUGGGAGGAAGGGCAGUGAGUUAAUACCUUGCUGUUUUGACGUUACCGACAGAAUAAGCACCGGCUAACUCUGUGCCAGCCGCCGCAGUAAUAC